GACGUAGGGCGCGAGCGUUGUCCGGAUUUAUUGGGCGUAAAGGGCUCGUAGGCGGCUUGUCGCGUCGAAUGUGAAAUUUUAGGGCUCAACCCUGACAUUGCAUUCGAUACGGGCAGGCUUGAGUUCGGUAGGGGAGACUGGAAUUCCUGGUGUAGCGGUGAAAUGCGCAGAUAUCAGGAGGAACACCGGUGGCGAAGGCGGGUCUCUGGGCCGUAACUGACGCUGAGGAGCGAAAGCGUGGGGAGCGAACAGG
rnacentral:rRNA from 1 species